CACAGAGUGGCUCAGUGGAAAGAGCCCGGGCUUGGGAGUCAGAGGUCAUGGAUUCAAAUCCCAUCUCUGCCA
rnacentral:tRNA from 1 species